rnacentral:rRNA from 1 species
AACGAACGCUGGCGGCGUGAAUAAGACAUGCAAGUCGAACGGGACAGACCGAGUAGCAAUAUUUGGAAUGUUCAGUGGCGAACGGGUGCGUAACACGUGGAUAACAUUCCGGAAAGCGGGGAAUAGCCCAGGGAAACUUGGAUUAAUACCGCAUGUGGCCGCAAGGCUAAAGACGGGGACUGCAAGGCCUGUCACUUUCCGAUUGGUCCGCGGCCUAUCAGCUAGUUGGCGGGGUAAUGGCCCACCAAGGCUACGACGGGUAGCUGGUCUUAGAGGACGACCAGCCACACUGGAACUGAGACACGGUCCAGACACCUACGGGUGGCAGCAGUCGAGAAUCUUUCACAAUGGGGGCAACCCUGAUGGAGCGACGCCGCGUGGAGGAUAAGGUCUUCGGACUGUAAACUCCUGUCAUGCGAGAACAAGGUACUCAGGCUAAUAACCUGAUUGUUUGAUGGUACCGCAAGAGGAAGAGACGGCUAACUCUGUGCCAGCAGCCGCGGUAACAC